rnacentral:misc_RNA from 1 species
GAUGAAGAACGCAGCGAAAUGCGAUAAGUAGUGUGAAUUGCAGAAUUCAGUGAAUCAUCGAAUCUUUGAACGCACAUUGCGCCCCUUGGUAUUCCAUGGGGCAUGCCUGUUCGAGCGUCAUUUGUACCUUCAAGCUUUGCUUGGUGUUGGGUGUUUGUCCAUUCUCUUGCAGAGGGACUCGCCUUAAAGUAAUUGGCAGCCAGUGUUUUGGUUUUGAAGCGCAGCACAAGUCGCGAUUCAACGCUAUACGCCAGCUUCCACAAGCCUUUUUCACUUUUGACCUCGGAUCAGGUAGGGAUACCCGCUGAAAUUAAGCAUAUCAAUAAGCGGAGGA